rnacentral:rRNA from 1 species
UGAAAUGCCGGUUCCAUAUGAUCACCAAAGUUAAGCAAUAUCGAGCCUGGUCAGUACCUAGAUGAGUGACCGCUUGGGAAUACCAGGUGCU